ensembl:lncRNA
AGACUUCAGGUACCAUUGUAAGCCUUUCCACUCUGUACCACAAGGAAAAUAAACAGGUUGAAGUGCUGGUGCUACACAGCAAGACAGAGAGAGAAAUCAAUGAGGGAAAUGUGCUUCUGCUAAUGAUGUUAUUUGUACAGGAGCUUACAGGUAUCAGGAAAACACAAAAACACACCAUAAUUGAGGCUGGCAUGCAGAAAUCUUCUCAAAAAAUAGGACAAAUGAUAAACAUUCAAAAAUUCCAGCACUCCUUCUCAUAAUGUUAUGCCACUUCCAGACUCAAAAGAUUGUGUGGAUGUCUAUCGUCUGUGUAAAGACGUCCUGCACAGCUCCCUAUGUGAGAUCCCUCAUGCUCUCUGCUCUUGUGUCCUGGGCAUAAACAAGAUAUUUGGUUACAGCCAACAGAGAAAAGUCUUGCAAAGAUUCAGUAUCCCCGAGGUGCUGUAACAACAGAUGACACCUAUAGUAUAAUGACAGUUUUAUUUAGUGUUUUUGGCACUGCUCCUCUUCUCGUGAUAUACAGAGUGGAGAAAAGACCUCUAAUACCCAGAAAGCAGUUCACUUGAUACUAGAGAAGGAGGCAGGGGGCCAUUUUCUGAGUCCUGCUUUUCUGCAGCUCUCCCCACAUCAAACCUGGCUGGCUACAGUUGGUGGGGAUGGACUGCUGCACAUCUGUGAGAUCUCAACAAUGGUACAGUAUGUACAGCUGCAGAGCCACUCAAGUUGGCAGGGUGGAGUCGGAUCUGUUUGUUUCACCACAAACAGUCAGACCCUCAUUACCACAGGCCUGAGGGAUGGCUCACUUGUCUGCAGCCGGCUCAGAAAAAACUGUCCUCUCCAGAAUGACUGACUGGGAUCCACAGAUGAAAUCUCUGACCAGAUGUUCCUCAUUUCAUACAGGUUCUCCAAGAGGAGACCCAGCAUAUGCAGAGACAAAGAAGAACCUAAGAAAAACAUCAAAGUUCUUCGUGACAAUCAAAGCAAUGAUGGAGGAGAAUGAGAGUCUGCCAGACAUGGAGAAACUUGAGCACCAGGAAUUUAACCUGGAUGUGGAAGAGCAACAGAGGCUGCAGCUCGAGGGAAAACAGGAAGUUACCAGGAAAAUGAGGUGA